ACGAUCAAUUGUAAUUGCUUCAGCAUGCAUUGCAUCAUUAGUUACUAGGGGAGGCUAGGGAUAGCAAACAGGUAAUUAGUAAUAGGCACUUUUCACUAAGGAAUUGGGUUAAGGGUAAUUAAGAAAGUAUGGAUGGCAAUUAGAUAAAUAAGUGAAUUAAAUAAGAAGAGUAGAUAUAUGAGAGUGGAUAAGAUGAAAUUGUAAAC
rnacentral:lncRNA from 1 species